UACGAAGGGUGCAAGCGUUACUCGGAAUUACUGGGCGUAAAGCGUGCGUAGGUGGUGAGUUAAGUCUGAUGUGAAAUCCCCGGGCUCAACCUGGGAAUGGCAUUGGAUACUGGCUCGCUAGAGUGCGGUAGAGGGUGGUGGAAUUCCCGGUGUAGCAGUGAAAUGCGUAGAUAUCGUGAGGAACACCAGAGGCGAAGGCGGCUACCUGGACAAUUGCUGACGCUCAGGCACGAAAGCGUGGGGAGCGAACAGG
rnacentral:rRNA from 1 species